rnacentral:rRNA from 1 species
AUUGAACGCUGGCGGCAGGCCUAACACAUGCAAGUCGAGCGGAUGAAGGGAGCUUGCUCCUGGAUUCAGCGGCGGACGGGUGAGUAAUGCCUAGGAAUCUGCCUGGUAGUGGGGGAUAACGUCCGGAAACGGGCGCUAAUACCGCAUACGUCCUGAGGGAGAAAGUGGGGGAUCUUCGGACCUCACGCUAUCAGAUGAGCCUAGGUCGGAUUAGCUAGUUGGUGGGGUAAAGGCCUACCAAGGCGACGAUCCGUAACUGGUCUGAGAGGAUGAUCAGUCACACUGGAACUGAGACACGGUCCAGACUCCUACGGGAGGCAGCAGUGGGGAAUAUUGGGCAAUGGGCGAAAGCCUGAUCCAGCCAUGCCGCGUGUGUGAAGAAGGCCUUCGGAUUGUAAAGCACUUUAAGUUGGGAGGAAGGGCAGUAAGUUAAUACCUUGCUGUUUUGACGUUACCAACAGAAUAAGCACCGGCUAACUUCGUG